CCAUACCAGCCGGGGAGUCAGCGGUGCCCUGUAUCUGCAAUCCGCUACAGCAGAGGUGGUUUCUGUUUCAGAGGGCUGGCGACGUUUGGUCUGCGCCUUACGUUUUCAUGUUGAGGGAUGGGUCUCGCGCAAUCAGCAGGCUGUGAACCAUGUCAGGUGGGGAACCAAGCAGCAUUAAGCGGUUAUGUUGAUGUGCCGUGAGUCUGCCUGUCCUGAGUGGAAGCUUUGGUUAACGCUUAUGUUACCAUGUUCGAAGAAACGGUGUAUGG
rnacentral:SRP_RNA from 1 species